UUAGUUCUGUAUGCAUUUCUUUGGUCUUUUUUUUUUUCUCUUAGGACUAUUGCUUUAUAGUUGUGAAUGUGAUAUUUAUUAAAAUGUAUUAUUUGAAUUAAAUAUUUUUUGCAUUCUAAAUUUUAAAUACAGCAAGUCUCCUCCCACAAACAUCAACUUCUUUUUUUUUUUACCUAUCUUUCUAUUCUUUUCCUGAGUUAAUUGCAGAUCAUUGUAGAUAGAGCAGGUAAAAUGGCAGCCUCCCCCCCCCCCCCCCCCUAAAAAAAGAAAGAAAACAAUUGGAGUAAUAUUUUUUUUAUUUAAAAUGUGGGAUUAUCUCACUUAAGAAAUGGGGUAUGUAACUCCUCUGCAGUAGAUACAAUUCAAACUGUAAUAUCCUAACAACCUCACUAUUUUUUUAUUUACAGUUAAUAAUGUAUUCCUGACAGAGCAAGGAUAUGGCUGUUUCGAUUCAUAUUCAAUUCUGGUUUUACAAUAAAUUAUCAAAGUCACUUUUAGGUAUUAAAAAGAUAUCCUUAGUUGAAGAAAAAGCAAUGCACAUGGGUGAACCAAUCACACGAGGCUUCUAUGUGCAGGAACCAAUCAGCAGCUACUGAGCAUAUCUAGAUAUGCUUUUCAGCAAAGAAUAUCAAGAUAAUAAAACAAAUUAGAUAAUAGAAGUAAAUUAGAAAGAUGUUUAAAAUUGAUUUCUCUUUCUAAAUCAUGAAAGAAAAAAUGUGGCUUUCAUGUCCCUUUAAGCAAAGUAUAUCACGUGAAUGAAGUAAAUGAUAAUAUAACUAUUGAAUUUUUUUUUUCUUCUUAAUUUACAUGUUCUAUCUAAACUAUUUUUUCUCAACCACUGUCAGCAAGUACCCCAAACUGGCCAAGUUUUCAUUAUAGCUGAACUAGUGCACAGGUGAAAUAAUCAGCUGAUGGCUGAGAGCAGGUUAGUAACCAUGGUUGAUUUUCACCUGUGCACUGGUUCAGCUAUAAUAAAAGCCUGGCCUGUUGGGGGUACUUGAGGAAACACUGAUCUAAACCAUCCAUGAAUGUUUAAUGUUACUAUUCCUUUAAAGUUAACAUAAUCAGAAACCUUUCAGCAUUAUUUGUGCCCCUUUAUAACAGCAUAUUUUAAUUUUUCUUUGUAAAAAUAUAGUGAUUUGGAAGCAAAAGACCAGAUUUAUGUUGCAAGACGCACAUUUUUGCAAGAAUCAUUCCACACCUUUCCAUUCUGAAAAUUUUUCUUUGUAAAAAUAUAGUGAUUUGGAAGCAAAAGACCAGAUUUAUGUUGCAAGACGCACAUUUUUGCAAGAAUCAUUCCACACCUUUCCAUUCUGAAAAUUAUUUUAGCCUGUUAAAGCAGUUAAGAUACAGUAGUACAAAACCUAAAAUGUGAAUUUGUGAAGUUUUUUUUUAGUAGCUUUUAGAUUCCUGUAGAUGACAUAUUCUCAUGCAUUUAAACCAUAAUGCCCGAUGUAGAGGAACAGUGUGGUUUUUUUUUUCCUUGUACAGUGUGUGUUAUUGCUUUGAUCAAAAUAACAAAGCACACAAGGCUAGUUUCCCUUAAGAAAUAGACUUUCCAUUUCUGGAGUUUAUAGAAUUGAGGUAUCCAUUUUAGAAUCCUUUGUGCAUCACUAUUUUCUACUGUUCUGAUAUUUUCUCUAAAUAUCUUCAGUUAGAAUUUCUUUCUUUCAUACAAUGAUGCUAAAUUAUAUGCUUGUAGUUUUUUUUUUUUUACUUGACAAUGACAUGGUUAAAAUGACUGUUAAACCUGGCCUAUAGCUCCCUUUUUCAUAGUUGUACAAAUAUAGUGAAUAGCUUGUUUUUCUGCUGGGUAGUGUUGUCUGCAAUUAAUUGUGCAAUGGUAUAUGAUUGUUCAAAGUGUGGAGUGGUGACGUGUUGUUGUUUUUUAUCAGCUUAAAGGGACAUUAAACACUCCUAACACUCAGCAAUAGUAAGGCUACACUUUUCUUAUAGUAGCUGUGGCAUCACCGGCACUUUGUCGGUCUUUCUGAGCAUGUGCACCAACCUUACCCACAAGAGUGCACAUAUGGCUGGAUCCACAACACAUCUUCAACGUUACUGGAACAAAGUACAACAUAGUUAUUGUUGUGUGUUAGAAUUCAAGAAAAUAAUUAGACCAAAGAGAUGUACCAAAAUGUGAAUAUAUCAAAUUAAGCAGCUUGUUUUCUGGUAGUAAGAGCCAGAAAAUUAUUAAAAUCAUACAGUCAUUACAUUAACAUUAAAAACAGUGUUUACCCAAUGUUUCCAUUUAUAUUUAAAAAGCUAUUUAAUGGUGUGUGUGUAUGUAUAUAUAUAUAUAUGUGUGUGUGUGUGUGUGUAUAUAUAUAUAUAUAUAUAUAUAUAUGUGUGUGUGUGUGUGUGUGUAUGUAUGUGUAUAUAUAUAUAUAUAUAUAUAUAUAUAUAUAUAUAUAUAUAUAUAUAUAUAUAUAUAUAUAUAUACACACAUAUACAAACAAAAACUAGAAUAUCUGAUGACAAGAAAUGUCCUCAGACAAGCCCCAAAAGCGCUCACACUUAAAGGAGUCUUAAUUCUUUGAUAUAUUAAUUCAAGAUCAUGUAAAUCUAUAAUAUAUACAGAAGAAACCAAGCAGACAGUCUCAAAAGGCUAAGGUAAGUCCCUCUGACUUUUCUAAAAAAUUGAAAUACAAAAAAUAUGAGCUGGCGCUAUAAGCAGCUCAUGUCCAUAAGCUGUAGGUAAUCUAAAUAAUUUAAAUAAUUAUCCUUAUAAGUACUACUUGUCACUGACAAGAGAUAAAAGGCAUAUAUGGUGUACUAGAAUGUAUGUAUAUGUUGCAUCUAUGGUAUUAUUACUUAAGACAUAUACAAAGCCGUACAAUAUCAGUAUACAAAGAAUAUGUUAUUAUUAGAAAGAAUUAUAUACUGUAUGUAUGAAAAAUAAAAUGAAAUACAAUGAAAUAUAAUAAAAGUCCUAUUUAAAAGGACUUUUCUUAUAUUUCAUUGUAUUUUAUUUUUCAUAUAUAUAUUUUUUUCUAAUAGCAUAUUCUUUGUGUACUGAGAUAUAUAUAUAUAUAUAUAUAUA